AAAGAAUUAGUUAAAAUAAAUAUAACAUAAAUAUGUCAGAUUUAAAUUAUUAAAUAUAAUAUUCUUUU
rnacentral:tRNA from 1 species